UGUAUUCCCAGUGAUCCCUAAAUACUCCUGUGUCAACUGUGUGUAUACUGAAAUCAAUUUCAGUAUAGAUUUUAGAUAAUUUAUCUGCCAUCCCAAGGAUUCCAAGAGACUUACAACUUCCGCAGUUUGAGUAAUCAACUUGGUCUAGUCUUGAUUGGCCCGGAGGAAAUUGUCUAGGUAGACUAGAACUCGACGAAUUCCUCUCGAACGUAGGAUCUCCGCGAUCCAGUUCAUCAAUAUUAAAAAUGUGCGAGGUGCGGAUGCUACACAGAAGGGUAGCUAGGGGAUAGAUAGGGGGCUCUCUAUUGUACACUACGGUUUGGCUAUUGGUAUGUGUAAGAUGGAACGUUUAACCAGGAAUUUGUGCCUCCCCGUGACUGUAUGACCGGCGUGAGGGUGUUCUGGUCAAAUAGAUGGAACCUUAUGGUUGUCUGGAAGAAAUCGCUUUAAGCGAUAAGGCCGCCAUUUGCCAUUUACUUAGUUAAGAGUCUUUUUGUAAUUUCUUUUUAUUUUGGUGCAAUAAAGUGUAUUUGUA